rnacentral:rRNA from 2 species
UAGGGAAUCUUCGGCAAUGGGGGGAACCCUGACCGAGCAACGCCGCGUGAGUGAAGAAGGUUUUCGGAUCGUAAAGCUCUGUUGUUAAGGAAGAACGAGUGUGAGAAUGGAAAGUUCAUGCUGUGACGGUACUUAACCAGAAAGGGACGGCUAACUACGUGCCAGCAGCCGCGGUAAUACGUAGGUCCCGAGCGUUGUCCGGAUUUAUUGGGCGUAAAGCGAGCGCAGGCGGUUAGAAAAGUCUGAAGUGAAAGGCAGUGGCUCAACCAUUGUAGGCUUUGGAAACUGUUUAACUUGAGUGCAGAAGGGGAGAGUGGAAUUCCAUGUGUAGCGGUGAAAUGCGUAGAUAUAUGGAGGAACACCGGUGGCGAAAGCGGCUCUCUGGUUUGUAACUGACGCUGAGGCUCGAAAGCGUGGGGAGCGAACAGG